UCCGUAGGCGGGCGUCUAAGUCAGUGGUGAAAUCUUACAGCUCAACUGUAAAAUUGCCAUUGAUACUGGAUGUCUUGAAUUAGUGUGAAGUGGUUAGAAUGUGUAGUGUAGCGGUGAAAUGCAUAGAUAUUACACAGAAUACCAAUUGCGAAGGCAGAUCACUAACACUAUAUUGACGCUGAGGGACGAAAGCGUGGGGAGCGAACAGGAUUAGCUACCCUGGUAGUCC
rnacentral:rRNA from 1 species